rnacentral:tRNA from 1 species
AAAAAUUUAGUUAAAUAAUAACAUCAACUUGUCAAGUUGAAAUUAUUGUAUCAAUAAUUUUUA